UCCCUAGUCUGUACCAAAUCCUUACACACCGACGACACAGGAUCGAAAAUUUCUCGGCGGCGGCGGCGACGGCGACGACCAAGAUCCUGAGCCAAGCUGGGCGGGCUCGCGCAGCAAAGAUGCCGAUCCAUCUCCUCUCCGAUGGCUCCUAGGUCCUAGCCGUUUCGUCGCAGGUGGCGCAGUUUGAGGCAGAUUAGAUCGGAUUCCUCACCUCCUCCCCACUCUCAGGCUCCCAGAUCAGCUCGCGGCCGUCCUCCUCCACCCCCACCCCCUCUCGCGAUUCAGCACUAGCUCAACGCUCGUGGAUCCUCGCCUCCUUCCCAGCCGGCCGCUCUCUGGUUCUGCGAACAGGCCGCCACGGUUCUUCGUUCUGCAGUUGCUGGAGUAGUAACAGCAGAAGAAUGAACAGCAGCUUGAGUAGAAUAGAAGCAGAUCCAUUCUGGUGAUGCUUAUGUUGGUUGGAUUCUUAUUUUAUCCAGAAGCAGCAUGCUGAUUAGUGCUAUGACUUAGUUAUGGUAUUGUGUAUUGCUACCAGAAGCAGCACGUGUACCGACUGUACAUAAACGCUAACCGAUUUCUAGCAUGAAGCAAUACACUAGCAAAUCUAGCUAUUCCGGCGAGAUGCACUAGUACAGGAAGUAGGCUGCUCUGGCUUCGUCGAUUCUUCAGCGGCAAGCCGACGCGCACACACGAUCCAGUAAUGGAGGGUAGCAGUGCGAUGUCUCCGCUAGGAGAGCCCUCAAUUCCAAUGAUCGCAGCAUGUGCACCAGCACUAUCACGUGUGAGAAUAGCGCCAUGGAAUCGGUCAACAGUGUUCAAAAUCAAGGAUGUGUGUAUGUGAUUUAGUACUAAUCCUUCAUCCAUGGCAUGAGCCUAUCUGGCAUCUUGUUCAUUUAUAUUUUCCCGUGCUGCUGUGGUUUUCUUAUUAUUACAAGGUAUAAUAUAAUGCAUGCCAUCAAGUUUUGUUUAUAGCUAUCAAAUUUGAAUAAUAAUUUGCAUCUGCAGGGCAUUCAUAAAACUCCCUUUAAAUUGUUCAAUGCCACUUAUUUGUCGUUCUCAUUUGUGCUUUUAACUAACCUUGGAAUUAUAAUCCAUUUAUUGUAGGUCUAUAAUGAAAUAAUGAACUAUGCUGCAACAAAAAAAUUGUACUCUCUCUGUUAGACAUAUCCAACUAUCACAUGCCAUUUUAUUUUAUUUGGAAAAUCCCCUGUAGAAGCUGGAAAGCCAGCUUGACCUACAAAGUUAUCCUGAUUGGUUACAUAUGUAUUAAUAUGUUUGAGGUUCAACCUAAGUUUUGACAUAGUAUAAGUUAUGUUUCCUAGGUUGGAGUGCUGAAAGAAGCUGGACAUAUAUAAUGAUUAUUUCUCUUCUCAAGAUAUGCUAUUUAAUCGAACUGAUCAAGUGUCCAUGGAGGUUGUCAUCUCUCUCCCAGCAGGAAGCUCGAUUGCCAGGAAGCACUAACACGAGGCAAAAUGAUAGAUAUUUUCGUUCUUGUACCAGCAAGAUGCUUGUUGGGCGAUGAUAAUUUCAGUCUUUACCACUUGGUCUUGCCGGCCAUAUACUAAAAAUAAUCUGUAUGCCACAUGUACUCAAGUACUCAAAUGCUUGCUAAGCACUGAUAAUUCCAGUCCUUAAUUUGCUCUACUUCCAGUUCUACUAGCCUUUUGUGAUGUGUUCUCAUGUACUCGAGUACUGAAAUGCUUGCCGAGCAGCUAUCAAUCCUUAAAUUGCUAUA